GGGCCCGUGGUCCAGCUUGGCUAGGAUGCGACGUUCGGGUCGUCGAGGUCCCGGGUUCAAGUCCCGGCGGGCCCA
rnacentral:tRNA from 2 species